rnacentral:rRNA from 1 species
UACGAAGGUCCCGAGCGUUAUCCGGAUUUAUUGGGUUUAAAGGGUGCGUAGGCGGGUUAUUAAGUCAGUGGUGAAAGCCUACAGCUUAACUGUAGAAUUGCCAUUGAUACUGAUGAUCUUGAGUAUGAUUGAGGCGGGCGGAAUGUGUCAUGUAGCGGUGAAAUGCUUAGAUAUGACACAGAACACCGAUUGCGAAGGCAGCUCACUAAGUCAUAACUGACGCUGAUGCACGAAAGCGUGGGGAGCAAACAGG